rfam:Altererythrobacter xiamenensis strain CGMCC 1.12494 genome assembly, contig: Ga0171583_11
GGGCCCUUAGCUCAGUCGGUAGAGCAACUGACUUUUAAUCAGUAGGUCGCAGGUUCGACCCCUGCAGGGCUCA